rnacentral:rRNA from 1 species
CCUACGGGAGGCAGCAGUAGGGAAUCUUUCACAAUGGGCGAAAGCCGGAUGGAGCAACGCCGCGUGCAGGAUGAAGGCCUUCGGGUUGUAAACUGCUUUUAUAAGCGAGAAAUAUGAUGGUAACUUAUGAAUAAGGAUCGGCUAACUACGUGCCAGCAGCCGCGGUCAUACGUAGGAUCCGAGCAUUAUCCGGAGUGACUGGGUGUAAAGAGUUGCGUAGGUGGCAUAAUAAGUAUCUAGUGAAAUCUGGUGGCUCAACCAUUCAGACUAUUAGCUAAACUGUUAAGCUCGAGACCGUUAGGGUUAACUGGAAUGUCUAGUGUAGGAGUGAAAGCCGUAGAUAUUAGAAAGAACACCAAUAGCGUAGGCAGGUUACUGGGACGGUUCUGACACUAAGGCACGAAAGCGUAGGGAGCAAACGGGAUUAGAUACCCUGGUAGUC